GGUUAGAUGGCCGAGCGGUCUAAGGCGCCACGUUAAGGAGAAUCCUUAAUUCAUUCAACAGUAGUUUCCGUGGUCCGAAAGGGCGUGGGUUCGAAUCCCACUCUAAUCA